UAGCUGAAAUGAAUCUAAAAUUUGAAAGAAGAUGAGUUGUUAUAUCUCCGUCUCUGAAUAGUGUUAAUAUGAUUCGGCAUGUGUCAUGUCAUAUGUAAAGCAAUCAAAUAUUAUGCCAUGUGUUGCUUCUCCAAUUUGAAUUUCAAUUGCUGGGUUGCAUUUUUAAUUAAGAUCUUUCCCAUAAAAUCAACAAUAUGUUCGUCACAAUCCCAAUAAAUCAGGACGAAAAUCGAUUGAGAUAUACUUCGUAUUUCUCUCUCUGGAAACCCUAGAACCCUGAAAGUCAUUCAAUACUCUUUGCAAUCAUUGCUGAUUAGAGAAAGAGAAAUGAAACUGAUGUUGAUGUCGACGAACCAAGGUAAAUGGUAAGGAAGAAGAUCAUAUCCAAAUUUAAUUUAAAUUGCCUAAUACAACGGUUUGCGCUUAUAUUAUUCCUCUGAUCUUUGCUUCCGGUCGAUCACCAAUACUUGAAGGUAAAUCGAUUUAUUCCUCUUGAUGUGCCUAAUUUUGAAUAAUUGUUCAAACCUUUGCUCCAAAAGACAUUAUCACAAUCGAUUUCAAAAAUAUUCCGAGUGUGGUUCUCUGGUUUGUCAAUCGUCAUCAAUUACAGAAUGAGGUUCUGGUGCAAUCUCUGUUAUCAAUCGCCACCACCACCGAUUUACCUCGACAUCUAUUUUCCUUUAUCUUUAUGAAUUUAUGAUAUUAACUAAAUGUAUAGAAUACCCAAACCAAAUCGGUACUCUCCCAAUUUUAUGAUUCGUGAAAGAAAGAAGCACUCUCAUUUGUAAGUUUUUCUUAUUUUCUUUGCGUGAAUGAUCUCCAUAUAUCAAGUUAUGAAUAAGAUUAUGAAGUUUUGAUGCAUUUUGGUUUCAAUAUUGAAACUUGGAAUAGACGUCCAUGAAUCAUUUCCUUCACCUUGAUCGUCUUAUCCUUAAAGACACUAUCUCUCUCACCCUAAAAUCCCCCUUUUUUUUCUCUCCACAUCUCGUUGAAGAUAUGGUCUCCUUUAGGGAUGGAUGUUAGCACUUGUGUAAAAGACAUUGAAGGUUGGUUUUUACUAAUUUCAACAUUUUUCCCUUUUCAUUUUCUUUAUAUGAUAACCAGAUUGAUUUUAUGGUGACAACACAACUGAGAAGAAAUAAGUAUAUCUUGUGGGUUUUGUUGCGUCUAAAAAACAACUCCCACUCAGGUGACUGUUACCUAAGGGUUUUUGUCGCUCCACUCACAGGUAACAAAUUUUACUUAGACGUUUUGAUUUCAAACAAUAUUAAACUUUUUGGAACUUCUUAUGGAUGUUCCAAAAAUAUCACAUCUUAUUUCCUUUGGUAAGCUUCAUGCUUUGUUUUUUUUUUGUGUGUUUUUGGGCCCUGUUUUUCAUAGAUGCUUGUAUCUAUUACAUUAUAUCUAUGUAAUAAAGGUUUAAUGAAGUUCAUUAUCAUCCGAGUCCUCGAUGCUCAGGUGGAUGGAGAUCUUUAUUGAAUGAGAGUUUGGCAUGGCAUAUAUAUAAAAACAAAACUAGCCAUGGGCUAGGAGGUACAAAACGUUUAGAACACAAAAAAGAACAAGAAAUAAAAACCGGACAACAUAAGAUCAGCAAAAUCACGACCUACAGUAACGUUCUAGAAUUGGGUCGCAACACCACUCGAGCCAUCUUAGCUUGUGCCCUCUCCUCUUCCGUAGUUCCAUGCAUUGAUCCAUAAGUGGGAAUAAGCUUGUACCUCAUAUGCCAGCACCGCUUUUGAGAUUGAGUUUGAGUUUGAGUUUAGAGCAUGUGCCUUACUGUUUCUGAAUCUCCAAAUUACCCACAUGAAGACUAGCAUUAUAGCUUCAUGGAGCUCCUUCGGUCUAUGGUGACCAUAAAGCCGAUUUUUGCAAUCUAACAGCUCACGACAGGAGCUAGGGGAGGGGUCUAAUGCUCGUCACCAUCUACACACAUGCGAACACACUUCACUUGAGAUCGGACAACCCACAAAUAUGUGUUCUUCCGAUUCAGGAGCUUCAUGACACAGCUUACACACAUUUGUAGAGCUAAUGCCAAGAUUGAAAAGAUUCAUUAUACAUGGAAGUUUCCCGUGACAGACUCGCCAAGCUAGGAUGUUUACCUUACCUGGGACCAAUGGGUUCCACAUCCAUAUAUUACCACUAUGGGAAGGACUAGAUUGUCAAUGUGAGAUCGCAUAGAAGAAACAGUAUAUACCCCCGAAGAUUCGAGAGACCAUGUCCAUUUACUUGAGCCAUCUGCAUUUACUACUUGCUGGAGGUAGUUCAAGAAAGGAACAUGAUCUUUUUCUAGUGAUAAUGGGAGGCAGGCAAUUGAACCCCAGCAGCCACUUCUCCUUUUUGUAGCCAGAGGAUGGGAAAUGCCACCAUCAGGUCCAUGAAUGGCCUUUAACUCCAAAGCCCAUGUGCUAUCGGGUUGGUUCCUGAAACGACACCACCAUUUCCCAAGCAAAGCAAGAUUUUGCACCUUCAAACUACCAACACCCAUCCCGCCUCUUUCUUUAGCUGCAAUAUUUUUUCCCAAGCAAUCCAGGCCAUUUUUCUUGAUUCCAUGGAGCCACCCCAGAAAAACCUCUUCCGAAUCCUUUCAAGGCUUUCAAUAACCUUAACAGGUGCCUUGUAAAUAGAGAAGUAGAAAGUGCCCAGGCUGCUUAGAACUGCUUUACAUAAAGUCAGCCUUCCCCCAAACGAUAAGGUGGAAGCUUUCCAUCUAGAUAACUUUGCCUGGAAUCUUUCAAUGAUAGGUUUCCAGUGGGUUACUCUUGCCAUCGAAGCACCUACAGGAAGACCUAAAUAAGUGAAAGGAAAGGAAUCAAUUGUACAGUUGAAAGUGCGAGCCACUAGUUCCAACUCACAAUUCUGAACACCAAGACCAUACAGUUUACAUUUUUCCAUGUUUAUCUUGAGUCCUGAGGACAACUCAAAACAUCUUAGAAUUCUUAUCAGAUUUUUUGUGUUUUCCAGCAACCAUGUACCCAUAAAUAUCACGUCAUCGGCAUAUUGGAGGUGGGAAAUUACUGGGUCGUGGCCGGGGAGCUGGAUACCUUUAAAUAUGCCUUUUUCUUUCGCCGAUUCCAUUGCAGCGUGAAGUCCUUCAGCUGCAAUGAUGAACAAAAACGGGGAUAGUGGGUCUCCCUGGCGUAACCCACGCUCCAUGUCAAAUUCUUUUGUUGCUGACCCGUUGAUAAUCACCGAGACCCUAGUUGACGAUAAACAUCCUCGAAUCCAUGAUCGCCAUUUUACUCCAAAUUCCAUUUGCAGCAUGACUGAGUCAAGGAACUCCCAACUAAGACUAUCGAAGGCUUUUUCGAAGUCUACUUUGAAAGUGAAAGCUUUCUUUUUAUUCCUCUUUACCCAGCUUAUGAACUCAUUCAAGAUGAGGGGCCCAUCAAGUAUAUUCCGAUUUUUAAUGAAUGUCGUCUGUGCUGAGCUAACCACCAAGUGUACCACCUUUUUUAGUCUUUCAGCUAGGACCUUUGAGAUUAUUUUAUACAAACAUCCAAUUAAACUAAUUGGGCGGAAGUCGUUUAUUGUGAUUGGGUCUUGUACCUUUGGUACAAGGAUGAUAAAGGAUGAGUUGCAGCCUUUAUCGAUAUACCCCGAAGCUUCAAAGUGUUUCACUGCGAGGUAAAAAUCAACUCCAAUCUCCUCCCAGUAUUGUUUUAGGAAAGCAAAAUUGAAUCAAUCAGGGCCUGGUGCCCUGUCCGAGCCACAAGCCCAAAUGGUUGAUUUCACUUCAUCGAGAGAGAGAGAGAGAGAGAGAGAGAGAGAGAAGGGCUCUUCUAAAUACGUACUCGCAUGGGGGGGGGGGUAGUUUCUUAAAUUGAGGGCUGAGGAAUUUAGGGCGCGAUUGAUAGGCUCGGUGAAUCUCCCGGCAAAGUGCUUAAAGGCCAACUCUUUAAUUGCAACAGGGUCGUUUAUCCAGAAUCCGUUCUCCUUGGUCCCAUUAAUCCUCUGAGAUCUUUGAUGCUUGUUGAUCAUACCAUGGAAGAAUGCACUGUUCUCAUCGCCUUCUAGAGCCCAGGUAGUUCUAGAUUUUUGUUUUAAAUCCUCAAUACGCCUGGAUUCAAUUUCCAUAAUUUUUUGAUAUGCGGUCUGUCGGCUUAUCAGAAGUUCUUUAUUUAUUAGGCCCUGCUCAACCAAAUGGUCGAUGUCAUUUAUUCUGUUUGUAAGUUCCUCCAUCUCUUUUCUAGCUUUCUCUGUAACUUCCUUCCUCCAUGCUUUAAUAUGCUCCUUUAAUUUCCUUAGUUUUCCUGCAACAAGGGACAGGGGAGAGAGAAGCAACUGAUGUCUUGGAUUGCUGCUGAUACCCCAUCCCCGCCUUAAGAUACCCUCGAAAUCUGGGUCCUUAAGCCAUGAAUUAUAGAGCUUGAAAGGGGUCGGGCCAAAGUCGAGUUGGGAGGCAGAUAACAAAAUAGCACAAUGGUUGGAAUGCACCCUAGGCAUGGCUGUGACAUUUAGAUUUGGCCAGGCCUCAAUAGCAUUUAGAGAGACAAGGAAUCUGUCGAGCUUACUGUGCUUAUCCCCAGUUGAGUUCAUGUACGUAAAUCUUCGACCCCCCAUUUUAAUCUCUAGCAGACCUAUAGAGUGUAUGAAUUCAUUGAAAUAAUAGGCGCUAUUUUGACAGAAGGCGGAUCCUAGUCUUUCUUCCGGCAAGCGAACAACAUUGAAAUCACCGAAGACGAACCAACAGGAUUAUGUGUCUGAAUUAAUGAGAUCAAACAAAUUAUUCCACAGGGAUCUUUUCCUCAAAGGAUCUUGUGGGGCAUAGACAUUUACAAAGCAACAACUUUUCCUCAGCUUGAGCCAACUACCCUUGAUGGCAAGAAAACCAACACCUUUUAUUGAUUCAGAGACCUGGAAAAAGGAGGGGUCCCAUAUGGAAGAUAUUCCACCAGAUAAUCCCACCGGAUCAAUGACCUCACAUUGGAAGUUUGGAGAGCCCCAAAUUUGUCUGUCUAGUUUGUUUUUAACCUCUUUGGACUUCGUUUCUUGCAACCCAACAAAGAAAGAGUGAUGUUUGAUACGACAGUCUCUAAGCCAGCUCCUUUUUACUUCACACCCAAUUCCACGAAUGUUACUGGAAAGUAUAUUCAUUGAUUGAUAAUCGUCACUCCACGAGUUUUGAUCAUCUAUUUGAGUUGGUCAGCUCGAUUACUAGCCUGGAAACCAACAGCUUCACCAACAGCGAUUGUUUUGGCAACCUCCCAAGAUGUGGCAUUUGACUCAGCGGUUUUUGGUUCUCGAGCCUGGUAUGUUUGCUUGCGACUUUUCCAAUUCCCCAUCUUGUUGUCGCGACCGUUGAUCUUUCGUCGGAGAUAAUUCCGGCGACAUUAAACCAUCCUCGUGGUGAGCUGGGGCAUCGCUGUUGAGGCUUCCGUUUUCACCAAUACUAUCUUCGUCCCACCAUGACAUUUUCUGAUAGAAAUCAUUAGCAGCAAGCACCGGACUGAGCUUAAGGGAUUCGAAAAUGUCUUCCAGGAUAUGUAUUUGGUACGGUUUUCCGUUCACCAUGAUUUUGAUGGAGGAACUAAUGAUUCCGGGGUGGGAUGUGAGUAUUCCGACCCUUCUGAAAGCCAAAUUUGGAGAGAUUGUGUUGCAUUCUUCUGGAAUGACCACUGAUCCCCAAGUGUUUGCAAUAAUACUGAAAGCCUCUUCACACCAUGCAUGCUGAGGCACACCUUGAAUAAUAAGGGAUGCGAUUCUUUCGUUGAAAUUUCUUUCCUCUUCCCAGGCUGUUACCGUUUUGAACCAUGGUUGCCAAAUCUCCCUUCCAUCGUUUAAAAACUUUUCCUUUUCUAUUAUAUUUUCGAAUUCAAGAAGAAUUUUAAGGCCUCCUAAAUAUCUUAACUGGAUCGAUGGGCAUCCCUCUACCUCCUGGAAAGCUUUCACGUUCAUGAGAGCUUGGAAGUUUUCUACUUCCCCCAUUAAAGUAUUUUGCAUGGCUUCUUUUGAUUCAGGGCAGGAUAUCAGCUUUAUUGUUUUCCUUGAUGGCACUCAUUCAUCCUCCUUACUUGUUUUCCUAGCUCCCAUGUUGGCAACUGGUAUUGACCCCUAACAGCAUCAGCAAAUGACCUGACGUAUGAGUGUGGUUGCAUUGUUUGGUCUGCAUGCUGGCCUCCCAUGACUUGAGGAUUUCUUCUACGAGUCACAUGCUCUUUCCUUUCAAAUCUCGCCACAUUGACUUCAAUCUUCUGUGUUCCGAUGAUGAUCUCGUUUAGACGCUUCUCGAAGGACUUAGAAUCUUGAAUCCGUAGGAAUCUAACAAAUCCGAAGAUCUUGUUGAAACGGUUCAGUUUCUUGGCAAUAUACACAUCAACAACUGCCCCAUAUCUGCUGAACAUCCGCCAUAACGCCGCUUCACUCCAAUCUGGGGGGAAAUUCUGCACGUAAAAAGUUACGGCUUUCCCGUUUAUGUCGAACUCUCUCCCGUAUUUCUUUCUUCGGCGUACCUGGUUCCAUCCUUCUUGAUCCGCCAUCGUUUCCUCCCGGCAUUUAAAUGCAAAAUUUUAUCAUACCAUCGUAAUCCUAGACUUUUUAUUUCUCAUCGUAAGAUGUAAUUAAAUAUUAAAAUGGUUCGUUGGUGCUUGGUAAUCAUGAAUUUAGUAUGAUAGUCUUCAGUUUGUUGGUGUUAUUACUAUAUUUUUUUCUUACUUUUA